AGAUCUGUGAUUGCAACUAAUGUUUUCAAAUUUGUCGCCUAUUUAUAUUGACGGAAAUGUGUGUCCAACCUAUAUCGAAUUGAUUAGGUAUAUAUAAAUAGUUUGAAACACCGUUUCAGUAUUAAAAAGUAAGUCUGGAAUGUUGAAGGACUUUGGAUUUCAAUUUUGGCAAUUAUUUAUUCUGUAAUAGGGCACCUACUUAAUCUUUCUGGUUUAACCCAUUGGUUGACUGGUAGAGAAUGCCUUAAGGUAUUAAGUCUGCCAUUUGUACCUUCAUGUAUUGUGCAAUGAAAAUAAAAUAAAAAAAUAAAAUAAUAGUCACCCUAAUGAGUUUGUCAAUUAUCGACUUGUAUUUUUAUUGUAAAAUUGAAUGAUUUUGGUUCACCUGUGAAAAGAUAUACCACGAUCAGCAAAACUAAACUUUUUAAAAUUUCGCACUCCAAUGCUGGACCGUUUUCUCUAAUCUGAUAAGAAGACCUUUCUGCCUCAGUGAUAAGGUUCAAUUUACUAUAACACAAAAGUUAGAGUGUUGUCCACUUUAUAUCUCCAUGGUGUGGACGGCUCUAUUUAGUUAAUGUACGGAUACAAUAAUAUCUGGCCGGAUGAUCUUAACUUGUUUCUGCAUUGUUCUGCAUGCAAAAUUGCCUACCGAAACGUGCUAACUUGCUACUUCCAAUUGCUAGUUGCCUUUGCCUAAAACAAUUUUAAUUUUACAUGACAAAUGUUAUUAUUAUUUUUUAAGGCAUCGCGCUCUUAGCGCAUUCAGCCUGACGAGUAAAACGGGGAAACAUAAUUAAAAGAUUAGAUUAAAACGAUCUGGAAAGGGUAAACUAAAAUAAUUUAAAGUUUAAUGUUAUCACGUAAAUUAAAUCAACACAAUGAUGUAAAAUAUAUAUGCAGAAGAAUCAUUAGUAUAGAUACAGGAGUAUUGUAAUAGAUGUGGGAAACGGAACUGUGAAAUCUGACACUGUCUUAAUAAUAUAGAACGGACCGAAGGGUCAUAUUCAUAUAGAUAUUACCAUGAAAGACUAUGAUUCCUACGAUUAGGUUUAUUGAGAGGAAUAUGACAGUUUUUAUAAAUAAAGCAUUCCAAAGCACUCACCACUGUAAACGGAGGAUUCUGGAGGCAACUUUAUUUUUUGGUAAAUAUUGCAUUGGGUGUGAAGUAGACCAAUGCCAACACACCCAUUGUCAGACAUUUUAGAAGCAUCUGUGUAUAUAUGAUGACCAGCCAGGCCAUCUGUUCCAAUGAAUCCCAGGAAUUAUUGAUUUUGUUCAAUAUCAUUAAUAGAGAUGCCAAUAUCAAAGAGAACUGGAGGAACAAGUAUUAGAGAUUCAUAUUCAUACUGGAAAAUGGAAAGUGUUGAAGAGCUAAUAUUACGAGCUGAAUAGAUUUAAGUUUUUGAAAACUUUUAAUCAAACAAGGAGGACUCUUGUGUUUCCAAUAGUUUAAAUAAAUAAAGAUUAUAAGACAUUAUUACACAAAUUGACUAAGUCCCACAGUAAGCAGUUUGAAGUUAAACAGAGGAAAAGGGACACAGUGGGUCAUAUUAGUACAGAAAAAGAACUAGUUUCUACUAUGUAUAGAAUUCUUGUAUCCUUGAAAAUCGCAAAAGUGGUAGUGGCUGGCCAGCAAAGAUAAUAACCAAGGCAAGCCUGAAUUGACUCAAAAGCACUUUUAGUGAUAAGAAUUCCAUGAGCCAACAAGAUGCUGCCAAAAUGUUUAAGUGUUACCAACUGUACAUUCAUCCAUCAUUAAAAAAGAUAGGUCUGGAAUGCUGCUAGAAGGUAAGAGCCCCGGAAUACACUGAUCUGUUAAAAUCGACCAUUAUGUCUCAGUGUCGCUAGAAGACUCGAAAGUACAAAGGGAAAUCAUUUAGUUAGGAUGAUGUAAGUUAUUUUCCUUUUAGCAAAACUGAUAUACCUGGAAAUGGUUGAUACUAUACUAGCAAUAAUUCUACAAUACCAGGCAAGAUCAAACACAAGUUUUAUGGAUAAGUUUGAGCAAACAUACAUUACAAUUCUUGGACUCCAAUAACAUACCAUUUGUACGUAAGAAAGUUCGAAAUUCUACAAAUUUUCCACAAUGUCGGCUGAUUGAUAGUUUUUUGGCUGUUUGGGUAUUUGAGUGUAUCUAAUAAAAAUGACUAUGACUUGUGUUCCGAAAAUGGACAAAAACGGUUUACAAGUGUCUUAUUCAAAUUUUAUAUCUAAACUACGUAAAAAUGCUGAUCACGGGCCCUACUCUAACAUCCAUUAAUGUUUAUGUAAACAAUUAUCAUGUAUAUAAUGCCUAAUAAUAACAAAGUAUCGUAAAAUGUUAUAUGAGUAAUUUUCACAGCUCUGAAAUAAAUAAUUCUCAUUUUUUGUUAUCACCCGUUGAAAAAAGUGUACCUAGUCUGCCUGAAGUCUAUCAAGUUUUUCACUGUUGAAUUUUGAAAAGUAAAUAUUUCACAAACUUAAGGUCCAAAAAUUCUGAUCAAACUACCGCGUUAUUCCAGGUGAUGAGCAGCUUCAAUCUGCGUUGUCCAAAACAGCCGCGCGCAGCUGCAACUCCGACCACGCCGCCACGUGGUUCUUGUUUUUUUUAGUGUUUGCGCCUCGACGGUGCAUCUCGAAGGUGUCUUUGGGUGGGUCUUGGCGAGGCGCUUCCCAGAGGAGGGUUCACUGGUGUCGCGAUAUUUUGCUCCAAAGUGGUUUUAACCUCAAAAAAGGCACAUUUUUGGCACUUUUUCACUGCACUGUCGUUGUGCGGCUAAAUCGCUAUAGACGUAUGCGCGGCACUGUCCCGCAACAUUUGACGUAUCGAACGUUUAAAUCGGUCGAGAAAAACCCACUUUUUCUAUUUUUUUUUACCGCGGAGCUUUGUAAAACGAUGGCGGUCAGUGUGGCGGAUGGAACGCAACUCGAGCCUGAGCUACUUCCAACUUCACCAGUCAGUUUGCUGGCUCAGCUGGAUGAAGGAAAUCUGAUACUGAGGCAUGGGAGAUUAGAUGAAAGGGUUUUGUUAUGACAUACCUGUUCCAUCCUCUGAGGUCUAAAAUGGGUCUUACACCCCCAUCGCUAAUAUGGAUUCUGUCUGGUACAAGUUUUCAGUACAUCCAAUUGCUUCUGCAUUGCUUCAACUUCUCUCUCUUCUGACAUUUGCUUGGAUGGAUUGGUUGCAAAUCUUUCUACUAUAGCAGGUGUCGGGAAAACCAAUGGAGGCUUUUCAAUAAAAAGAUGUGGGAUGCUGUUAUUGCUUUGAUGACAAAUUUGUUGGCUCCAAGCUCCCUCCAUCUCUCUUGAAACUCUGCCAGACAUCCCCCUCUGAAAUCCAUAUACCUACUCAUUUUUCUUCCUUAGUGGAAAGGCUGUGUUGUUUGUCACGAAAGUUAGAUCUCUUCCUUUUCCUUUAUUUCCGUUGUCUUUCUGAAAAAUUAGUGGUUUUUUUAUAUGUGCUCUACUGGGUUUCAGUAGAUUUCCUUAUCAGCGAGGGCUUCUUUCGUGUGGCAUGUUUAGCCAUGCGGCAGGUCCGUCCAGCGACUGAACUAGUUGGGAAAGUGUCUGCCUGGCAAAUAAGUAUGCCUUAGUGGGCGGGAUACUCCCCAUUGCCCUCUGAAUAUACUUAUCAUGUAUUUCUUGUAAGUCUUUCUCUUCUGGUGUCAAUUCAUUAUGUCCGCUUCCCACAAAUUACCUUUUCAACACACUUGCUCAAACGACGUUUUUAUUCCACCGAUUUUUGGCUCAUAAUCCUAGAUAUUAAAUACGCGUGCUUUUUCAGUAUAUUAUAGCACUUGGGCUUUUUCAUUAUAUUAUCCGACUGAGUUAAGAAGGUAACUGAUUGCAAAUAAUAUGCAUGGAAAAGGAGCCUUCUUCAUUUGGUCGAGUAAUACAUUUUUUUUCUAACCAACUAUUAGGUUUCAAAUGUUAGUUCAAAGAGGUUUUAUCACACCAAACAUAAUUUAUAGAUUAAAUUAUCUCGUAAAUUACAUUAAUGAAUAAACAACAAUUUAUCGAUUUGAUCUCCAUCCGUCGAAAAGAAAUACGAAAAUAUUAGCCUUUUUAUAUUUUUUUAAUUGGCUGUUUGUCGAAUUCGUGCGCGCCUUGCGGGCGCAUUGGAAUCGUGCUUAAAAAAAAAUAACGCGCCAGCCAUUUUCCGUAUUUGUCAUAAAAUUGGAAUAGUUUUGCAUGUUUUUAGUUUAUAUAUUGACGAAAAUGUCAUUUUCUAGCAUUGUAAAUGAAGAACACAUAAAAUUGACGCUGCCAGUAAUACUAAUAGAGGCAAGAGCCGAGAACGAUAGCCUUUUAUCAUCAAAAUCGGCUGAAAAAUAAUUGGCGGCAUAUGAAUCUUUUAUUCAAUGGAAAAUCAGCAAAAACGCCCAGUUUUUCUUGGAAAACGUGUUGGUAGCUUACUUCAAUGAACUGGCGAAUAAGUGCCUACAAGCCCAGCACGCUUUGGUGCAAUUAUUCGAUGUUAAAACUGCAGGUCCGUUAAUACUGGUGUAACUGUAAAAUUUUGCAGCGCCUUGGCGUACCGCACGUCCCUCCAGGAGGUUAGACGAAAAUGUUGGGGAGAGUUAAUGAUUGCAACUCUUUCUGGAUUUGCCUCUCUAUCUUGUUUUUAUCCACUUCGCUCUCUAUUUUUCCGAAAACCAGCUCUUUAGUGCUACCUGAAGGGACCGUUAGGAAUUCCGAAGAGGAAGCGUGGUGGAAGAGACGAUGACAGCGGCAGCUGGACACAUAACUUGAGAGCAGCCGAUAUCUCAAGAAAAUAAAUAAAUAAAUUGUGUUAUGAAAAGAUUAUUUCAUAUUUUGCUAAUAGAUAAAAAAACUUAAUAUAAUA